ensembl:lncRNA novel transcript
AGCCGGCCCCGCCCACGCGCGGGAGCGGGUGCCCGGAGCCUGCCUCCUUCGCAGUUCUCGCUGGGCGCUGCUGCGGGAAUCAUAUUCUGCACUGGAAGAAGCCUUGAGAGUUGCCUGGCCCAGAGGUCACAAACCAGAGCCCUGCGGGCUGAGCUCUACCCACAGUGCAGUUAUCAGUCACCGUGUAGCGGUCACCGACGGCCACAUUAAUGCUGCGUAACAAACAGCCUCAGAGCCCACCGUUGUGUGUCGCCAGGCGGUGCUGUCCAUGCCCAGGCCCCAAGAAAGGCAGGGGAAAGGCUGAGCUGGGCCUGUGCCCUCUGUCCCUUCCUAUGAGCCUCUAGAGCAAAGCUUUGCUGAAGGCUGUUGUCUGAACCAAGGCCACAGAGGAAGCACGCUCCCUGCUCCCACUUUGCCCCUCGUACCCGCCUGAGGGCAUCUUAAUUAAGCCUUCCUUCCCCACGCUCAGAAAAAUAAAUACUUGGGAGACAGCAGAGA